GCCUCUGUGGUUCAGUGGUUGAGCGUUGGACUCAUGAUCCAAAGGUCCAGGGUUCGAAUCCCGGUGAGGACA
rnacentral:tRNA from 1 species